UACGUAGGGGGCUAGCGUUGUCCGGAUUUAUUGGGCGUAAAGGGCGCGUAGGCGGCCAGCACAAGUCAGUUGUGAAAUCUCCGAGCUUAACUCGGAAAGGUCAACUGAUACUGUGCGGCUAGAGUGCGGAAGGGGCAACUGGAAUUCUUGGUGUAGCGGUGAAAUGCGUAGAUAUCAAGAGGAACACCUGCGGCGAAGGCGGGUUGCUGGGCCGACACUGACGCUGAGGCGCGAAAGCCAGGGGAGCGAACGGG
rnacentral:rRNA from 1 species